rnacentral:lncRNA from 1 species
AAGUGCGGNAAAGAAAAGCCCGACAUCGGGGUGUCACUAGUCAUGCACAUCUACUACAAUUUAUCUGACAAUAUCGAGACUAACAUAGUCUGAAAAAUAGCUAAAUACAACUAAAGAAAGAUAAGAGGGAGAAGAUCAGAGUUGCGAUCGCCAAGCAACUAUCUUGUUAUCCCCGAGAAAAUCUGCAACCGGGAUAGUCAACGACUGCUACCAUGUCCAGAUACGACUGCAUCUACACACAAGGUGCAGGGAGUAACAUGAGUACGCCAACUCAGUAAGUAACAACAGUAAAUAAAGACUGAAAAGUAGUGACGAGCAAUAAUGUAAGUAAAGUUCAUAUCACAAAAAUUCAGUAAAAUACAGUAUGCUUUUAAACCAGAGUUUGAAUCAAAUUAGCUCUUUUAAAUCCAGUUUCAGUAAAAUCAUUUAAAGACAUCUUUCAGCAGUUUUCAAACAAAGGCUCAAUGCAAAGAUGAGAAAAAAUAAUAAAAUCAUAAUCAGCCACUCGGGCAACAUCACUCAUAUACAGCCCCUCGAGAAAACCUCACAAUCACUCAUAUACAGCCCCUCGGGCAGACCUCACCAUCACUCAUGCCUCCCAGUCACUCAACACUCGGCACUCACACUCAGUAGGUACCUGCGCUCAGUAGGGGUGUAUACAGACUCCGGAGGGGCUCCUUCAGCCCAAGCGCUAUAUCAAGCCAAUCAUGACAUAAAUCAAUGAGGCCCUCGGACUAUAUCAAACAUGAUGCGGCGUGCAGCCCAAUCCCAUAAGUAUCUUCACAAAUCAGUCCCUCGGCCUCACUCAGUCAUAUACCUCUCCAGCCUCUACGGCUCUCAGAAAAUAAAGUAUUCAGCCCAAACAAUAUUUAUAUGAUGCAUCAAAAUAGAGUAAUAGAGACUGAGUUAUGCUGUUAAUAUGUACAAACAUGAUUGAGUAUAGAUUUUCAAUCAAAAAUAAAGAGAGGAUAGCAAGAAAAGAACUCGAACGGUCCAAACAACACUGGCAUAAGGCAUAAACAUGGCAUCCAACCCGAGUUACAUAAAUUCUUUCUAAAACACAUAAGAAUCAUAUAGUUUCAAAAAAAUAUUCAACUUUACAGUUGAUAUGGGAUGAACCAAGUCAUAAUCUCCAAUGGUGCACGCCCACACGCGCUUCACCUAGCAUGUGCGCCACCUCCAAAUGGUAAAAUAAUACAAAAUUCCGGGGUUGCAUACCCUCAGGACCAGAUUUACAAUCGCAACUUACCUGAAACCGAUCAAAUCCCUACUCGGCGAUGCUCUUUCCCCUCGAUUCGGCCUCCAAAUUCUCUGAAUCUAUUCACAAUCAGUACAAUACCAUCAAUUUAUGCUAAAGGAAUGAAUUCCACAAGCAAAAUUACCAAUUUAGACCAAAAACCCGAAAUUGGCUCAAACCCGCCCUCUGGGCCAACGUCUCAAAAUCCGAAAAAAAUACAAAACUUGAAAGUCCA